rnacentral:lncRNA from 1 species
UCUUGAAAGAUUUGUUUCUAGUUUGUGAGAUAUCUUAAGAUCCUCUGAAGACUUAUUUCAUGAGAUGUAUGGGUGAAGAAACGCGUGUUCUAAAAAUAAAAAGACUAUUUUUCUUUGCCUUAGUUUUGAAUGAAAUAUGUUAAAACAUUUGAUUUGAUUGGAAUCAAAUCUGCAGAAGAUUGUGCAGAGUCCUUGGAUCUGCUGUUAAUCAAGCCCGAAGCCCAUCCCUUU